rnacentral:rRNA from 1 species
CACGUAGGGCGCAAGCGUUGUCCGGAAUUAUUGGGCGUAAAGAGCUCGUAGGCGGUCUGUUGCGUCUGCUGUGAAAACUCGGGGCUUAACCCCGAGCCUGCAGUGGAUACGGGCAGACUAGAGGUAGGUAGGGGAGAAUGGAAUUCCCGGUGUAGCGGUGAAAUGCGCAGAUAUCGGGAGGAACACCAAUGGCGAAGGCAGCUUGCUGGGACGGUACUGACGCUGAGGCGCGAAAGCGUGGGGAGCAAACAGG